rnacentral:lncRNA from 1 species
CACGUGAUGCUGGUCACUGUAUUCAGAGGGGGAGGGAUCUUACUUUCGGUCGUGGCAAUUAGCUUUUAAAACACUAAUGCCUGCAUCAUUUGGCUGAGCCACUGUCAAAAAGACUCAAAGUUGCAUCAUUUACAACUCAGAGCUGAGAUCUCUAAAAAGUUCAAGGCCAAGACCCAAUGGGUAAUGGGACUCACUUUUAUUUUAUAAGUGGGUUUUCCUUUUUACUACUUUCUGAGUCUUACAAUUGAUUCGAAUGCAUGGCAAAAAUAUUAACAUGUUUCAUUCUGAAGCUUUGAUCCUGAACCUGCAUUUGCUCCAUCUACAUUUAUUAGUUUUUCCCUCGUCCUAACUUCUUAGCGUCCUUGGUUCUUUACCUUGUUAGUUCUGUCCCUGUUUUUGCCUUUUUGUCUCCUUAUGGUCCUGUUUCCAUGGCCCCUAAAAGUCCCAACACAACAGCAUAAAUACAUCGUGGUUGAAGACCUGGAGGAAGAACUCAUAAAUUUGGAUCUUAUAUUAUUGUAUAAACUUUUUAUAAUCUUAAUAAUUAUAAAAAGUUUAUACAAUUAAUAUUUUAACGACUCAACUAUUAAAUUUAUCAAUAUAAUUGUAUUUGCUAUGUAUGUAAAUUUUCGAAUCAAUAUAAUAUAUCUAUCAUAUCAAUCUAAAAUUUUGUAUAUAUUAAUAUCUAUUUAACAGUUAGAAAAAAAUUCUUUUACAUAUAACAAAUAAUUAAAAAAAUUUAAUUUAUAUUAAAUUUGACAUGCAUAACCUAUAUAAGUGAUCUAUAGAAGUGAAAUAUAAUAUAAAAUUAUUAGAUCCUUAGAUAAUAAUUACAUAAAAAAAAUAUACAAAAUGAUGUAAAAUUAAAAGGUAUAAGUGAAUCCUUCCCACUUUUUUAAACGGGAGGUUUGCUUUUCAAUUGGAGCAAAAUACCCUAGUGAAAAAUUAGUGCUCCAAUGUGGUAUGAGGUUCACGAUUGAAUAAAAUUGUUGUUAUCUAAACGCAAAAUCAUGGUACAUUUGUACAGAAUAUGUGAACUCAUUGAAACGUGAGUUCUACUCACAUCCAAAGGAAGCUGUAAUCAUCGAAAACAAUAGUUGAUCCUUAAGGAAUGGUUGGGUAUUAAAGGCAUUGAAAAUGUUGAUCUUCAACAUCUGAAUUUUGAGUUCAAAUCCAUAACAUGCCACUAUAACAAUGCACCAAAGAGAAUCGGAAAUGUGUUUGUUAUUAUAGAUUUUCAUAAAAAUGGCGAUGAAUUAUGUUAGAGUAAUAUUAUGUGAUCUACAACAAUCAUCAAAUUAAUCAAAAAGCAUUUGAGUGUUGUGGUAAGAUAUAUUACAUUCUCAAAAAGAGAACAUAAGUUCGAAUUUUAAAAAUGAUAUUAUUAAGAAAAACAAUUAUAAACUCUAAAUAAUAACAGUAAGAAAAGUUGCAUGGAAAUGUUUUGUUGAACUUCAGCUUUUGGAUUCAGCUAGUGCUCAGUGAAUCUUUAUAUUGGAUUUUCAGAGCUGAUGAUGAAAACAUCUUAUAUAACAUUAUUAAUGGCCUUAUCAUGCCAUAUUGCCAUAGCUUUGGUUAUUGUUACUGCAAUCAACCCUUUUAGGAACCAAUCCCCUUCAAGAUGUAGUUAAACUCAAGUUUUUGUUAAUUAUGAUAGAUUGUUCUCUCCCCUCCAUGAAACAUAUUGUCCACUUUUUCAUCUUACAAUAACAAAUAUCCAUAUUUUUAAUUGCAAUCGACAACUUUUUCGUCUUAGGAACUCUAAUCAACCAUCCAAAUGAAUAAGUAGAAUGUGUUAAAAUGCACUUUAUAUUAAUCAUAGAAAUCAACAAAACAAUGUUUUUAUUUCUAUGUUACAUACAUCUGUGGGAGGCAAUAAUUUUGAUUUUGAAGGUCACAGAUGAAUAUAAAUGUGUGGGAAGCAGUCACGACAAUCUGCUCACCAUGGGGCCACUUUACCCAACUCAUUAUCUCAUUAACUAGUUGGUAGAAGCAAACUGUAUUCCUUAAGCCACCAUCUCACUUAAUAUCCGGUAAUGGCACUUUCCAAAAAUUCCAUGCGUUAUAAUCUUCCUGCAAAAGUAUUUCCAUAUCAGGGAAACCAUUGAAGGCUCCAAAAUAAAAUCCAGGGACAAUCUUGCAGAGAAUUUGUAGUAAAGAGACAGGAAAUAUACUCCUUACCUGCUCAACCAAUGAGGCUGGCGGAAACAUGUCAUCAACAAGAGUAUGCAAUGACGUAUACGAUCUCACAUCAAUACGUUGACUAAUAGCCACCUCACCCUGCCAAGAUUAUUAGAAAGUCAAUAGUAACCGCAAGACAGGCUUCA